rnacentral:rRNA from 1 species
GAGUUUGAUCAUGGCUCAGGAUGAACGCUAGCGACAGGCUUAACACAUGCAAGUCGAGGGGCAGCGGUGGUGAAGGCUUGCCUUUACCAGCCGGCGACCGGCGCACGGGUGAGUAACACGUAUGCAACCUGCCUGCCACAGCCGGAUAAUCGGGAGAAAUUCCGUCUAAUACGGCAUAAUGCAUCGACGGGACAUCCUGUUGGUGCCAAAGGUUAAUUCCGGUGGCGGAUGGGCAUGCGUCGCAUUAGUUAGUUGGCGGUGUAACGGACCACCAAGACGACGAUGCGUAGGGGUUCUGAGAGGAAGGUCCCCCACACUGGUACUGAGACACGGACCAGACUCCUACGGGAGGCAGCAGUGAGGAAUAUUGGUCAAUGGGCGGGAGCCUGAACCAGCCAAGUCGCGUGAGGGAUGACGGCCCUAUGGGUUGUAAACCUCUUUUGCCGGGGAGCAAAGUGCCGCACGUGUGCGGUUUGGAGAGUACCCGGAGAAAAAGCAUCGGCUAACUCCGUGCCAGCAGCCGCGGUAAUACGGAGGAUGCGAGCGUUAUCCGGAUUUAUUGGGUUUAAAGGGUGCGUAGGCGGACGCUUAAGUCAGCGGUAAAAUUGCGGGGCUCAACCUCGUCGAGCCGUUGAAACUGGGUGCCUUGAGUGGGCGAGAAGUACGCGGAAUGCGUGGUGUAGCGGUGAAAUGCAUAGAUAUCACGCAGAACUCCGAUUGCGAAGGCAGCGUACCGGCGCCCAACUGACGCUGAAGCACGAAGGCGUGGGUAUCGAACAGGAUUAGAUACCCUGGUAGUCCACGCGGUAAACGAUGAAUGCUAGUUGUCCGGGGCGAUUGAGUUCUGGGUGACACAGCGAAAGCGUUAAGCAUUCCACCUGGGGAGUACGCCGGCAACGGUGAAACUCAAAGGAAUUGACGG